AUACUUACCUGGCAGGGGGAGAUACCAUGAUCAAGAAGGUGGCUCACCCAGGGCGAGGCUCGGCCAUUGCACUCCGGCUGUGCUGACCCCUGCGAAUUCCCCAAAUGUGGGAAUCUCGACUGCAUAAUUUCUGGUAGUGGGGGACUGCGUUCGCGCUCUCCCCUG
rnacentral:snRNA from 1 species